GAUGAAGAACGUAGCGAAAUGCAAUAAGUAAUGUGAAUUGCAGAAUUCAGUGAAUCAUCGAAUCUUUGAACGCACCUUGCGCCUUUUGGUAUUCCGAAAGGCACACCUGUUUGAGCGUCAUGAAUACCUCAAUCUCCAUCUUUUCUUCGGAUUGAUGGGUGACUUGGAUGUUGAGCCCUGCUGGUAUGCUAUAUCAGCUGGCUUUAAACUUAUUAGCCGGCUCUGUACUGGAUCGGUUUGACUCGACGUGAUAAUAUUAUCGUUGAGGAUGCAUGUCUCAUGCAGCCGGAAAGUAUCAAAGCAGCUUCUAGCUUGCCUUUAGUGCACUUUUACAUUUUAGACCUCAGAUCAGGUGGGACUACCCGCUGAACUUAAGCAUAUCAAUAAGCGGAGGA
rnacentral:misc_RNA from 1 species